CGUGUCGGAUAUUGGGCGUAAGAGCUCGUAGGCGGUUUGUCGCGUCUGCUGUGAAAACCCGAGGCUCAACCUCGGGCCUGCAGUGGGUACGGGCAGACUAGAGUGCGGUAGGGGAGAUUGGAAUUCCUGGUGUAGCGGUGGAAUGCGCAGAUAUCAGGAGGAACACCAAUGGCGAAGGCAGAUCUCUGGGCCGUAACUGACGCUGAGGAGCGAAAGCAUGGGGAGCGAACAGGAUUAGAUACCCUGGUAGUCCAUGCCGUAAACGUUGGGAACUAGAUGUGGGGACCAUUCCACGGUCUCCGUGUCGCAGCUAACGCAUUAAGUUCCCCGCCUGGGGAGUACGGCCGCAAGGCUAAAACUCAAAGGAAUUGACGGGGGCCCGCACAAGCGGCGGAGCAUGCGGAUUAAUUCGAUGCAACGCGAAGAACCUUACCAAGGCUUGACAUAUAGAGGAAACGGCUGGAAACAGUCGCCCCGCAAGGUCUCUAUACAGGUGGUGCAUGGUUGUCGUCAGCUCGUGUCGUGAGAUGUUGGGUUAAGUCCCGCAACGAGCGCAACCCUCGUCCUAUGUUGCCAGCACGUAAUGGUGGGAACUCAUGGGAUACUGCCGGGGUCAACUCGGAGGAAGGUGGGGAUGACGUCAAAUCAUCAUGCCCCUUAUGUCUUGGGCUUCACGCAUGCUACAAUGGCCGGUACAAAGGGCUGCAAUACCGCAAGGUGGAGCGAAUCCCAAAAAGCCGGUCUCAGUUCGGAUUGAGGUCUGCAACUCGACCUCAUGAAGUCGGAGUCGCUAGUAAUCGCAGAUCAGCAACGCUGCGGUGAAUACGUUCCCGGGCCU
rnacentral:rRNA from 1 species